GGCAGGGUGGCAGAAAGUUAAUGCACUAAAUUGUAAAUUUAUAAAUAAAGGUUUAAUUCCUUUUCUUGCCACCA
rnacentral:tRNA from 1 species